GGCGGGAUGGCGGAAAGGUAGACGCAUCCGUCUUAGACACGGACGCCCAACAGCGUGGGGGUUCGACUCCCCCUCCCGCCA
rnacentral:tRNA from 1 species